GCGGGGUUGCUCUAGCCUGGUAGGAGGCAGGCCUGCUAAGUCUGUGGUCCAUUGGGCCGCGAGGGUUCAAAUCCCUCACCCCGCGCCA
rnacentral:tRNA from 1 species